rnacentral:tRNA from 1 species
GAUAAGCGUGGGGUCACUAGUUCGAAUCUAGUCAGGCCCACCAGUUAAAGGAGCAAUGUAUUGCGUAGUGCCUAGCGC